CCCUUAGAUGUUCUGGGCUGCACGCGCGCUACACUGAAGCGUUCAACGAGUAUUUCACCUUGCCCGGGAGGGUUGGGUAAUCUUUUUAAAACGCUUCGUGAUGGGGAUAGAUUAUUGCAAUUAUUAAUCUUCAACGAGGAAUUCCUAGUAAGCGCGAGUCAUCAGCUCGUGCUGAUUACGUCCCUGCCCUUUGUACACACCGCCCGUCGCUCCUACCGAUUGAACGGUUUAGUGAGGGCCUCGGAUUGGUCUCGGCCCGCUCUUUACCGGGCGGCGCCGUUGGUCGAGAAGACGCUCGAACUUGAUCGUUUAGAGGAAGUAAAAGUCGUAACA
rnacentral:rRNA from 1 species